CUCAAUGCUUUUGUCUGCAGACGCGAGGUAGACACAUGGUGUGCGGCAGGCAGCGGAGGAUUCAGGGGGAGGGGCCGCGAAACCAACCACCCCUCGCUGAUCAUUUCGGGGCGUCACUAACGCUGGGUCGCUCUCGUGUUGCGUUCACGUACACGUCGGUCUCCUUUACACACGUGGCGUACGCACAAAACGGGGCUGGGAACGUGCGUACGCCACUUGCCACGCAAAGGUUGAGCAGACACCGUGGGCAAAGUCUGACCCAUUCGUACGCACAUUGUGGUGACGAGGGGAAUAGGCGACACCGAUGGCGAGUUAGAGAACGGAAGUCAGAUAGCCGAAAGUAAAGGUGAGAACGACGAUUAUGAAUAUUGAUGCCUACUUUUUCUUAAGUUCUGCCACUGUCCGCUCUGUUGCACUGACAGUUGACCGCCGCAGCAACACGUCGCCACUCGCACUGCUUCUUUUUAUUAGUGAUCCCGCUCCUGUGGCAACAAAUAACGCUGUUUUCCGGGCGUCCACCUCCCUACAGAUUCAGUGUAUGGGGUGCGCAUCUAUGGUGGGGAGGCAGUACACAUAGCCCAACCUGGGCCUCUUCAUCAUCAGCGGUAAGCACACUGGGAAGGUCUGUAAAGUCCACGUCCCCUUCGCUGCCCUCCUCCCCCUCCUCUUCAGACUCAACAUGCUGAUACUCCUUAAAUGCCUUCACAAAGUUGUUACUGUUAUCGGUCACACAUGCAGUGACUUUGUCGUGAGUAAGGCCAUAUUCUGAGAAAAUGUCCUCAAUCUCUGUAUUUUAUUAUAAGUGUGGCGACCCCUGAAUCGUCUACCGGCUAUUGCCGCCUUCCUCCGUUUCAAACUUUCAUUAUCGAUCCAGUGCACCGUGACCCCGAGGUACCUUCUGUUAUUUGCACUCCAAAUAUCAGCGGUGGUGGACACAUAGUUCUGUGCUUCAAUGGUCUUUUUAAGUUCCCUCGCCAUGAUUGUGUAUGCCUUACCCAAGUCCUUUGCAAAGGUUUUUCUGUCUGGAAGUACAUGCUGAAAAUAUAAGAAAAUAGCCAGAUAUUAAAUUCUAGAGCUUAAUGCAUUAAGCACUACACAUUAGCUAAAGGGCCUUACAAUGUACGACCCUAUGAAACCAACUAUUUUUGUAAGGGCUGGCUAUGCUGAACAUGAAUUUCAAUGAAUGUUGAAACGUUGGGGGUGCACUAGGCUACCUGUCCCAUGAGAAGAUUUACAUUGAAAAUCGAUGUGUGUCAGAAACUUUCAAUAUGUAUGUAGAGACCUUGGUCUCUAUCAAGGGAAAGCUAAUUAGCCUAUACAAUAAAUUUUAUAAAAGCAAUGUCCUCUAGAUGUGAUUAAACAUGCACCGACAUAGCCUACAUCAUCAUAUUGUCUAUUGUGUUUAACAGAAGUUUUGGUAUGUUUUAUCUGGAUAAAUAUUGACGUGAUUCACAUUGACGUUAUGUCUCUGUUCUGAUGGCCCAUUUAUAGUAUAGCUAUAGCCCAGUGACAAUUAACCUGUUGAGACAAUGAUAGCUUACCUUGUCAUUGCUAGUCGCGACGGGGAUCUUGCCGACAAGUUUUUUUUGUGUGUUAUGCCUUACAUUACUGCGUUACAGCAAAAAGCAAUGCAUUACAGUAAUUACAUUACUUUUGUAAUGCGUUACUGCCAACACUGGUGAUCAGUGAUUUAUAAAGGGAGAAUUGUGCACAGGUGUACUCAAGGUUUAUUAAGUCAGAAUAUUUUUUGGCGUACGCCAUUUUUGGCUUUUGGGCGUACGUGCACUGUUAGUAAGGAUCCUACGCACAGUUUUAUAAAUGAGACCGUAACUAAAACUUGAGCAAAAAGACUCACCAGUAUCCAAGUGCAAUAUCAAUAUAACAAUAUUACUCAGUGUAGUGUUUAAUGACACAUAACUGCAGUCGUACAACGUGUGUGUGCGCGUGUGUGUAUGUGUGUGUGUGUGUGUGUGACUGCACCGUGAGUGCACGGCAAAAUGUGUGCGUGCCAUAACCAGCUGGUGUUUCUCAUGUUCUAUAACAAAUGAAUACACAUUAGCUGUCCAUUAAAAUUAAAAUUAAACUUAAAUAGGGUUUUUGGUUAUACUUGUUAGAUAAAAUUGAAACCCAAGAUGUCAUACAAGGAAAUAUCUGAACCAACAGAGGUGUUUGGUGCAGGACCACAUACAUUGUGAAUAAACAGUUCUGAUAACAGGUUUCAACUAGUCCGAACUCUGGUUCAAUGGAAUAGUUUGACCCUGUGUUUUGAGAUAACUCAAGUCAGGACAAUUUUCGAGUCCUUUAGUCCUUUAAUUUAAUUAUUAUUAUACCAUUGUCUAAAUAUGUUUGUAAAAAAAGAUGGCAGGUAUGAACUGAAAGGAAAGUUUAUGUUUAAAAAACAUUGAGGACUAAUAAACGGUGAAUCUAUGGAGCAAACUUGAGGAUAGAUUGAAAGCAUGUAAUACAAUUUACAGUUUGAAAAUAUUUAUUCAAAAUAGAGUAAUAGGUAAAUGGAAGACACUUGAUGAAUGAUAAAUGAAAUCUUGUGAUAUUGGGUUUGACUACAUACACUUGUAUUACAGAUGGUAAUAGUACAGUAAUGUCCAGCCAUGUGUAUCUAUGGUUAUUAUUGGGACUGUGUAGUAUGUAUAAGUUUGGAUGAGGUGUAAUGUGUGAUAAAAGAAGACGUGAUAAGCUCACCUUUUCUUUUCCCUACACCUCUUCUUCAAUUUAUUUUUUGUUGUUUUGUUAUUAUUCGAGUUUGUUUGAAAUGGUAAACUCUCAAUUUAUAUCUUAUUUAUAACCCCAUAUGAUAUUGAUUUAUGUUCAAUUGACUGAUUAAACUAUAAAUGAUCCCUAGAUAACCUAUGAAUAAUGAACAGACUAAGAGACUGACUUUGACAUUGCCACAUUUCCAUCCCUUAUUUUUUUGCUAAGCCCAGUUUAGAGAUUGCUCAUAAAAAAAUAAUUAAAAAAAGUUAGCUCAAGUUAUUCUUUAUUUUGAGUGAGUGUGAACCUUGGUUAAUGGUUAGCCGAGAUUAGGAGGCAUGGAAUGCAACUACGUAUACACAAAAUUGUGUCAAAGGCUGUAUCCAUCCUUUUCGCGAUGGUGAGAGUAGCUCCAACAAAACAUGAAACUAACUAAACUAAACCAAAAAAACCAGCUUAUUUUGAGUUGAAUGAUGACUCUAACUUGCAUGAAAGCGCUCUUGUCUAAGUGAGUUGGUGACACUGUGUCUAGUCCUCAUUUCAAAGGCACGUAUCUGGCAGUAUAGUUAUGGAGUUCUGACAUUGAUGUCGAGGGAUACUAACUCUUUCCCAAGAGUUUAAUGUAUUAAAUGUGUAGAUUUAUCAGUUUAUGAUGUGUUUACCUGGACCUGUAUUGAUGGAUUGUAUUCACUGAUAUUAUGACCAAUUUAUAUUUUCAUUUGAGUGGCCAUUUUAUGGCAAAAGGAGGAGUUGUGUCAAUUUCUCAUAGAAUCAUGCAUUUAACAUUUAUUCUGAAAACACACCACACCACUACAAGCAAAGGUACGGUAGAGUCAAGAAAACAAACCUGACUCCAAGGUCAUAGCUGAGCUGCUUUUACACGGGAAAAACAACUUUUGUUGAAGACACUCCCUGAGAUAUAAGGGUAACACAAGCUGACAACAAACCAGUGCCAAUGGAAAUAACAGUGAGAGAAAUUAACAUUACAGGCUGGGAGGCCACUAUAUACACAGAUACAAUUUAAAAAAACAAGUGUCUGCAGCUGUCAGUGAUACGCCUGUUAGUUCUGUUGUCCCCAGGUGACCACAGAAAACCAUGCUGAUGUUACUGACCAUAAAGACCAUCAGCUGGGAAAUGACCUGGAAUACAAAAACAAACACAAUACCCGCUGGAUAUUAAUAACAAAAAAAAACACGUUUGUGUUGUAAUACUAGUCAUGAAAGAAACUGUUCAAACCACCGUGGAGUCCUAAUGGUGCGGAGCCUUGUGGGAAAGCUGUAGCUUUGAGCAGAUUUGUACCAUUGAACAGUGAACGCACCACUCCUCUUCCCCUCUUUGUCUCAAACACAUAUGGCAAAACCAAAACAUGGUUAUCAGUUGUUUUGGUUUUGUGAAGGUAACCUUGUUCAGAUUUCCUCCAUCUCAUAAUUACUAUCUCGAUAUUCUGGUUUAUGUGUAUUUUCUUGUGGUGUGAGCAAUAGUCAUUUUCAUACAGUAUAAAAUAAUUCAGCAAAAUAUUUAACUGGGGAAAAACAGCAUCCUAUUUUUCUACUUUUGUACAGACAAUAGUUUCUUCUAUUCACCAGCAGAUAUGUGUUAUAUCUAUACAAAAAAAUUGAGUGAUGAGGUGAAUUCCGUUUUACAAAAAUGGGGAAGAAAAUCAACCUCUAUCCUUAAAAUUUGAAAUAAGGCAAUAGUACCAUUUUCACGAGGCAGUUGAAUGGUAAAAGGUGGCUCUCAAUCAUGUGAAGUCAUUAAUGCUGCUGCACUAUUAAUUCAAACUGAAAUGAAAUAACUGAUAUUACAUCAAAGUGCCAAGUCUCAGCUUUAAUUUGUAGGUUUACAGGUUUACAUUGAUAUUAGAAGAACUGUAACUGGGAGAUGUAGCCCUGUCAACAUGCAGUGACUUUGGACUUGAUAUAACACAGUGGACCAGCACCAGCAGAUGACAUGGCAGCGCAAAUCAUCACUGACUUCAAACUUCACACUGGACCUCAAGCAAUUUGCAUUCUGUACCUCUGCACUUUUCCUCCAGACUCUGGGACCUUGAUUUGCAAAUGAAAUGCAAAAUGCACUUUCAUCUGAAAAGAGGACUUUGGACCACCAAGCACCGUCCAGUUCUUGACAACUGUCAAGUCAGUGGUUUUCCCCAGGAUUGUGUUUUUGUGUAUUCCACUACACCAGGAGAGAUGCACAAACUCGAAAUGAAAUACUAGAAUAUUUUGGGAUAUGUUUUCUUCUUUUUUAGCUGUAGGCUGUAAUUAUCGAAAUAAAAAUUUAAAAAUUUA